AGUGAACGCUGGCGGUAGGCCUAACACAUGCAAGUCGAACGGCAGCACAGUAAGAGCUUGCUCUUAUGGGUGGCGAGUGGCGGACGGGUGAGGAAUACAUCGGAAUCUACCUUUUCGUGGGGGAUAACGUAGGGAAACUUACGCUAAUACCGCAUACGACCUUCGGUGAAAGCAGGGACCUUCGGGCCGUUGCGCGGAUA
rnacentral:rRNA from 1 species